CGAGCGGCGGACGGGUGAGUAAUGCAUAGGAAUCUGCCCGGUAGUGGGGGAUAACUUGAGGAAACUCAAGCUAAUACCGCAUACGCCCCAGGGGGGAAAGCAGGGGAUCUUCGGACCUUGCGCUAUCGGAUGAGCCUAUGUCGGAUUAGCUAGUUGGUGAGGUAAUGGCUCACCAAGGCCGCGAUCCGUAGCUGGUCUGAGAGGAUGAUCAGCCACAUCGGGACUGAGACACGGCCCGAACUCC
rnacentral:rRNA from 1 species